rnacentral:lncRNA from 1 species
AUGGUUGAGCCUUCGGGCUCCGGUAAUAGAAGAAGGGGUCAUAAGACUCCUCGAGAGUCAGACUCUUUCGAGGAGCGUGAAAGAAAACGGCUCCGGGAUUUGUUUACAGACCCGACAGAUGAGGACUCAUUUGAGGGUUUUUCUGAGGGUUUGGAGGAAGAGAUGGCCAGCUCGGAGGAGGACGACAUGGAAUGGACUCGUGUGAGGGAGGAUUUGGGUGUUGGGGAAACAGGCAAUGAAAGCAUGGGAGGUGAUUGGCGGGUUGCAGGAUCAGACCCAUGGACUGGCUGGAGGGAUGGAGCGGGAUCCACAGCUGGGGAUGCUGUGGGGCGUAGUCAAAGGUGCUUAAGCUCUGAUGAGGAUGAUGAUGUUGGGGAAACAGGCAAUGAAAGCAUGGGAGGUGAUUGGCGGGUUGCAGGAUCAGACCCAUGGACUGGCUGGAGGGAUGGAGCGGGAUCCACAGCUGGGGAUGCUGUGGGGCGUAGUCAAAGGUGCUUAAGCUCUGAUGAGGAUGAGGAUGUUGGGGCGCCUGGAAUUGGGAUGGCAGCUGACAGCGAUGAUGAGCUUGAACUGGGAUAAAAUGGGGUUUGGGACCAAUGUCUAAUUGCGUUGGGCAAGGUAAUCUGGACGGACGCUUGGGCUUUUGUUGAGGAACUUCCUGAAGACGGGUGUGAUUCGUUACUGGAUAUGUAAGUUUACCAAGGACACUGGGCAUCGACGGCGGGAGGAACUGUGCGGGGUUUUUCUCUGUGCAACUUGUGUUUAAUCUCGAUAGCUUGGACCUCCGUCGUCUUUUUGACGGGCAAUACCUACUCACACUGGAUUGACGCUGGACUGACUGACUUCGAUUCCGGAUUAUCCCUUCUGCUGGCUAUCGGUGAGACCUUUGGAUUUCUUGACGACUACACUUGGCUAUAGACCUCUGGACCGGAUUGGGACCCUGCUGACUGCCGUUACCCUGACUGCUGUGCCUGGACCUGGAUAUCGUUGGCCGCUGAACCUUAAACUGAAUCCUGACUACGACCACGCUUUUCGCUCGCUGCAGGAAGGAAUAAACAAGCCUGGUUUAUUCUCCUGCUGUUUCUGAAGUCUCCAAUAAGGUCUCCAAUCCUUUUAAUACCAUUUUCCUUCAGUGCCUUAAUUAUAUUCCUAAAUGUCUUGUCCUUAUUUUCCAAUGUUUCUAAUGUUUCUAAAGGGUCAAUUGUAUUUGUUAUUUAGUUAGCCAUUUUUUCCAGAUUGACAACAUUGUUAAGCAAGGGCCUGCUUUUAUGUUCUUUAGGUCUUUUCUAUCCAUUCUCUCACCCAUUGACAUUCCCUUUUGCCAAUUAUUUGCUUCCUUUUCUAUUUGCACCCAUUUAUUUGACCCUUCCAAUCUGAAUUCUAGUAACCUUGCUAGUUGACUUGCCUCAUAGUAUAUUCCCAAUGAGGGAGCCCCCCAUCCACCCAAUUCUUGUUUACUAUAAUAUAAGAAGUUAGCAAUUCUGUUUUUGUUUCCUCCCACUACCCAUUUUUUGAAAGAGUUAUCCCAUUUCUUCAACAAAUUGAUAGGGAUAUUCACCGGGAGGGUUUGGAACAAGAAUAACUUGGGCAAGAUCUUCAUUUUGUAAAUUUUUAGCCUUGAGGAGAUAUCUAAAAAUUUCUUUCCCCAUGAAAUGAUUUGUUUGCUCAUAUUUUUCCAUAAAUGAUUGUAGUUCAUUGGUAUAAUAUUAUUAAUAUUUUUUGUAUAUCUACUCCCAGGUAUUUCAUCUUCUUAUUCCCCACUUUUAUUCCCAUGAUGUUUUGAACCUUCUUAAGUUCUUCCCAUGUUAGAUUUUUAUGUAGAACCUGAUUUCCCUAAAUUAAUUGUGAGGCCCGAAGUUUUACCAAAAUCCUUGACUGUUCUGACUAUUGAUUGUAGUGACUCCUCCACCUCCCCUAAAAUUAUCAUAACAUCAUCAGCAUAUAGAUUAAUCUUGAUGACUUCCUUGCCCACCUUAUAACCUUUAAUAGCUGGGUUGUUCCUUACUGAAUUUGUUUUUUUUUUCCUGUGGCAUGAUUCAGAAUGUUUAGAAUAGUCCUUAUAGGGUCCGCUAAUUUCCUGUUUUUUACAAAUCCGUAUUGAUCUUCGUGAAUUAUCUCUGGGAUUAUAUCGUUCAGUCUAUUGGCUAAUAUUUUAGUGACUAUUUUGUAAUCAAUUUCAUCCACUAUUGACAGAUAGAUUUUAAAAAUAUAUAUAUAACCAGUUCUUCAUUUUUGCUAUAAAAAACAAAAACAAAAAAAAACAAGUAUUAUAACAUUUGGAUUUCUGAAUCAAGUUUUGGAAUUGACCUGAAUUAAAUAGUGUGCUUUUCAGAUUGGUCCAAGAUGUUUUCAGAUGUUAUGGAAACAAACUAAGCAAAGCCUGAACCAAAUUUUGUGGUUAGUACAUACAUACCCCAGUCAGCAGCUUGUAGUGAGUAGAAUCAUGUACUCUUUGUGUUGGAAUCACAGACGCCUUAAAGGGCCAGACUUAAAAGUGUCUUCAAGACAGAGUUUAUUAAAACAAAAGAAAAGGGACAUAGAGAAACUAAAAUGCAGUUCCACUGGUCAAAACUCAAAAAACCAAACCAGGCCUGGUCCAAAAGGUAAGCGGAAAUAUAAUCCAGAUUAACUGGAUGCAAAGAGCAACAAGUCAAACAAAGUGCUCUGAGGCAAAACAAAAAGGCACAGUACACAAAUGGUUAACAAAAGGAGUCGCAGGAAGAGAAGCGUCGUCAGCCGAAGUCCAGGGUCGAAGCAGGAGAAAUCCAAAACAGCGUAGCUUCAGUGUCCUGCAGAAGCAGCAUCUUUAGCCGAACCGGUCCAGGUUCAAACUGCAGAUCCGAAUCCAACUCUGAACAUGAAACAGGCAGCAGCAAGUUUACAAGAAUCUUCACCAAUACACAGCACCCAGCACACAAACGCACAUCAACACCUUGCCUUCUGCAAAGACCCCUCACCCCUGAACCCACUUUUAUCUACAAACCAUCAUCAGAAGAUGAACUGACCACCGCCCCAUCACUAUCCCCCGCAGCUGCUUCCAGCUCUUCACAUGAAUUCCCUUGCCUUUCCCUCCAAUUCCUCCAUCUCCCCCCAAGACUUGGUUGAAUCCCCUGAUUGCCAGUCUUCACCCCCAGAGAACCCCAUAAAGGUAUCACUAGUUGUUGGCGCCUCACAAAUAGCUUGCACUUCUCUUAUCUUAGUCCAAUCCAUGGUGUCCCCUUCUUCUCCUUCACUCAUUGACCCAUCGUCCCCAGAGAAUCCCUCAAAUUACUCCUCAUCUGUAGGUGCUGUAAGUAUGUCCCGGAUCCUCUUUCUCUGCUGCUCAUCAUCAGAUUCCUGCUCCCGAGUAACCCUUUUUCCCCUCCUGGCACCCAUACUACUGUUUGUAACGUUACU